UAGGGAAUUUUCGUCAAUGGGCGCAAGCCUGAACGAGCAAUGCCGCGUGAGUGAGGAAGGUCUUCGGAUCGUAAAGCUCUGUUGACGGGGGAAAAAGGAAGCAGAAAGGAAAUGGUCUGCUUUUGAUGGUACCCCGCCAGAAAGUCACGGCUAACUACGUGCC
rnacentral:rRNA from 1 species